rnacentral:rRNA from 1 species
GAUGAACGCUGGCGGCGUGCCUAAUACAUGCAAGUCGAGCGAACGGACGAGAAGCUUGCUUCUCUGAUGUUAGCGGCGGACGGGUGAGUAACACGUGGAUAACCUACCUAUAAGACUGGGAUAACUUCGGGAAACCGUAGCUAAUACCGGAUAAUAUUUUGAACCUCAUGGUUCAAAAGUGAAAGACGGUCUUGCUGUCACUUAUAGCUGGAUCCGCGCUGCAUUAGCUAGUUGGUAAGGUAACGGCUUACCAAGGCAACGAUGCAUAGCCGACCUGAGAGGGUGAUCGGCCACACUGGAACUGAGACACGGUCCAGACUCCUACGGGAGGCAGCAGUAGGGAAUCUUCCGCAAUGGGCGAAAGCCUGACGGAGCAACGCCGCGUGAGUGAUGAAGGUCUUCGGAUCGUAAAACUCUGUUAUUAGGGAAGAACAUAUGUGUAAGUAACUGUGCACAUCUUGACGGUACCUAAUCAGAAAGCCACGGCUAACUACGUG